ensembl:snoRNA
GACUGUGUGUGUGUUUGUUCAACUGGUGGACAAAGACAUGAAAGACAGGUACAAAAACAAAUCCUCAUUGCAUCCCAAAACUCAUUGUUCAGUGUGAGUUCUGAUACAUACCAGAAGGACUAUA